rnacentral:rRNA from 1 species
ACGGCUCAGUACACGUGGAUAACUUACCCUUAGGACUAGGAUAACUCUGGGAAACUGGAGAUAAUACUGGAUAUUAGGUGAUGCCUGCAAUGGUUUGCCUUUGAAAUGUUUUUUCGCCUAAGGAUAGAUCUGCGGCUGAUUAGGUCGUUGGUGGGGUAAUGGCCCACCAAGCCGAUGAUCGGUACGGGUUGUGAGAGCAAGAGCCCGGAGAUGGAACCUGAGACAAGGUUCCAGACCCUACGGGGUGCAGCAGGCGCGAAACCUUCGCAAUGUACGCAAGUGCGACGAGGGGAUCCCAAGUGUCAUUCUUAACGGGAUGGCUUUUCUUAAGUGUAAAGAGCUUUUGGAAUAAGAGCUGGGCAAGACCGGUGCCAGCAGCCGCGGUAAUAC